CUUUUAUAGGCAGCCAGGAGGGGAUGAGGUCAUCGUGAACAUGAUUGGCUGGGGCUCCUUUUCCUGCUUUAACAGGGUACAGAAAUAGGAACGGAGACUAAAUUAAAACUCGGGCCUAGUGGAGGCUGGGCCAGGAGGAGCCUGGCCAUGGGGUAGCUGUGGCCCGCAGUCUCCUUCCUUGGUAGUUUUCAACGUGCAUCUGGAAGCCGUCUCCUUCCUCGGAGGCACUUUCAAGGUCCAACCGGCUCCUCGGUCAACCCAGGCUUUUCACUGGUCACUGCACACUCUGAACUCCGGGGAGGCUUCUGGGCCCACGUGCCAGACCAGCCCCAUAAGGCAGGACCACAGAGGCCAGAAGAUGGGAGCCCAGGAGCAGGCUCAGCGGAGACACAUGCCCAGCAAAGAGUCCUGCCCCGGUGGCCUCCACCCAGCCUGGACCCUCGAGGGGUGAGAAGGAAUCCAACUUCCCACCCAACUGUGGAGCCCGGGCUGAUGGGCGAGAGCAUCCAGGGCACAGAGAGGCAGGCCUGGAACUCAGCAAAGCCUGACCUGCAUGGGGCUCAGCUGGUCCCCAAGUCCCGGAGCUCGCCUACGCAGAUCCAGGAAGCCCCCGUAAGUGGGCUGCUGCAUCCACAGGAGAAACACGGGGUCUUGGGUUGGACUGAGUCUCCUGUCGUACUGUGGAUGUUUCCGGAUCUGUGCGAACACAGACUACAGUAUUAGAAGUCUGGACAGGGCCGGAUCACCUCUGACUUCUUUCUCUCUGCACCUGCGAGUGGCAAUCCAGUCUCUGUUCUUCCUUCCCACCCCCAUGUCUCUCACCUGACCAUACUGUGAGUACUGAGUUGGAGGAGACCCAGUGAGAUUUCUAAAGAAGUUGUCCAACUUUUAAAAGGAAUUUUAAAAAGUUUAUUGUGGGUACAUGUGAGGCGGUCAGAGGACAGACAACUUGCAGGAAUCCAGUCUCUACUUCCACCAUACAAUCCUAAGGAUGGAAUUCAGGUUCCCAGGCUUGAUGAGAGGCAUCACUCCAGCCUUUGACCUAAGAUGGCUAUGGGGACUCAGGACCAACGUUCUGACCCUCACACCCCAGGGCAGUGCUGCAGAACGCAGGCCGUGGGAAGUGGCCCUGCCAUGUCUGAAUUCAGGAAUUAAUGAGAGAGAUGGUCAGGUUUUCAAGAGUUCGGUCCCCACAGUGCUGCUCCUGGUUUGCUUUCUACGUGGAAAAGGCCCAGAACUCAUGCCCUGAAGAGAAUCCGUCCAGGCCCCUCAGCAGCCUUUGCCUGGCACCGCCUUUCUUCAGGAAGUGAAUUCCUAGACAAGGACUCAGCCCACAGCUCCCUGCCCUUCCUCUCCCAGUACUGGCUCUUCAUCCUGGCGAAGGGUAUGUGAACAGAAAUCCACAGUUCCGUGUUUAUGAGCAACUCAUAGAACUAAACUGUUUUGUUCUUACACAUUUUUUACUUUAGCCACCAAUGACUUGGGCCUUACGAUUUCCUACAUUUGAAGUCUCUCUGCUCCGUAUUUAUGGGACCAUCACCCAUGGACAGACAGUUCUUGUUUUACUGGACAAUCCCAAGCUCAGAGAAGGGACAAGAGGAAGUGAGCUCGGACAGUCACGGUGCUGCUGUGUUUCUGAGAAACAAGGAGAAAGGCUGGCAGCUGUGUGUGCCCACCCCAAGCUGUGCCCUGGGGCUGACAUGUUAAAGUGGUGUCCUUUCUCCUUGAACCUUGGGUAGAUCCUACGGUAGAAGCCGUGAAGGGUCCAGAGUCAAAAUCAGCAGCAGCUUUUCUUAGUUCUCUAUCUUUCAUGUAUUUUGGCCAUUUCCCAAGUGGUGAUCUCUCUUCAAUUACAGCACCAUGUUAAACAGCCGUUGCUGUUUGCCUAAUUGAAAUACAAAAUCUGGGAACACA